AUACGGAGGGUGCAAGCGUUGUUCGGAAUUACUGGGCGUAAAGCGCGCGUAGGUGGUCUGUUAUGUCAGAUGUGAAAGUCCACGGCUCAACCGUGGAAGUGCAUUUGAAACUGGCAGACUUGAGUACUGGAGGGGGUAGUGGAAUUCCCGGUGUAGGGGUGAAAUUCGUAGAUAUCGGGAGGAAUACCGGUGGCGAAGGCGACUACCUGGCCAGAUACUGACACUGAGGUGCGAAAGCGUGGGGAGCGAACAGGAUUAGAAACCCCAGUAGUCC
rnacentral:rRNA from 1 species